ACGGAGGAUCCAAGCGUUAUCCGGAUUUAUUGGGUUUAAAGGGUGCGCAGGCGGAUCAAUAAGUCAGGGGUGAAAAAUUUCAGCUUAACUGGAAUCGUGCCUUUGAUACUGUUGGACUAGAGUAUAAUUGACGUGACUGGAAUGUGAUGUGUAGAGGUGAAAUGAGUAGAGAUGUGGCUGAAUACCGGAGGCGUAGGCAGCAAACUGGAUGAGUACUGACGCUAGUGUGCGAGAGUUUGGGGAGCAAACAG
rnacentral:rRNA from 1 species